rnacentral:rRNA from 1 species
GACGUAGGGCGCGAGCGUUGUCCGGAUUUAUUGGGCGUAAAGCGCGUGUAGGCGGCCAGGUAAGUCCGUUCUGAAAGCCCGGGGCUCAACCCCGGGAGGCGGAUGGAUACUGCUUGGCUCGAGUCCGGAAGAGGCGAGUGGAAUUCCCGGUGUAGCGGUGAAAUGCGCAGAUAUCGGGAGGAACACCAAUGGCGAAGGCAGCUCGCUGGGACGGUACUGACGCUGAGACGCGAAAGCGUGGGGAGCAAACAGG